UACAGAGGGGGCAAGCGUUAUUCGGAAUUAUUGGGCGUAAAGGGCGCGUAGGCGGCCGGACAAGUGGAAGGUGAAAUCCCCGAGCUCAACUCGGGAACUGCCCUCCAAACUGUUUGGCUUGAGUCCGGGAGAGGUGAGUGGAAUUCCCAGUGUAGCGGUGAAAUGCGUAGAUAUUGGGAGGAACACCAGUGGCGAAGGCGGCUCACUGGACCGGAACUGACGCUGAGGAGCGAAAGCGUGGGGAGCAAACAGG
rnacentral:rRNA from 1 species